AGGGUAUAUGUGUACAAAAUAUUUUUUUUUGACACUUUGGAACAGCAAACAGUAGAAACAUCUAAGCCUAAGCAGCAAUACCUACAAAGGCAAAGAGCAACAAUUCAGAUUCAAAGAAUGACUAAAACAUUGACCAAAGUCUUAAAUGUCAAACUGUCAUCAAGGAGAAGUCCAGAGAGAACAGUCAAAGCAACCAAAGCUGCAGAGAUAAUCCACCAGAGACUUCAUCCCUCCUCUCUGACAUACACACAUCAGCAAGUGAUCACAUUUGACACUCAACAUACGCACACUCAAUAAAGACAGCAUACAUACAUAUAUAUACAUACAUACAUAAAAUACGAGCUUUUUUAAUAUAUAUUUCUUUACAAAAGCAGACAUGAGCCAGAAACAAGCCUGCAUCUUCCUCAAAGGGGCGUCGAGGAGACAAGUCACAUUUCAAGGAAUUACAAGCAAACUAUUCAAAGAGACAAGCUAAAAGUUCAACUUAAUGCAUUUUUUGCAGAAAUAUGGUGUUGUGUUUAUGGCAAAAUUUGUGUAUUAAAAUGGGGAAAUAAUAAUAAAAACAAAUGCAAAUCUAUGAUACAUAUAUAUGUGUAUAUGUAUUAUUAUUAUUAU